rnacentral:rRNA from 1 species
UACAGAGGUCCCAAGCGUUGUUCGGAUUCACUGGGCGUAAAGGGUGCGUAGGCGGUCGGGUAAGUCUGAUGUGAAAUCUCACAGCUUAACUGUGAAACUGCAUUGGAUACUAUUCGGCUUGAGAGUUGGAGGGGGGACUGGAAUUCUUGGUGUAGCAGUGAAAUGCGUAGAUAUCAAGAGGAACACCAGUGGCGAAGGCGAGUCCCUGGACAACUUCUGACGCUGAGGAGCGAAAGCGUGGGGAGCGAACAGG